UCUUGUGUUGUUACUGGUUGGCUUUCUCCAAAUGUGAGAUUUAAAAAACAAAAAUUUAGAAACUAAGCAUGGUCAGGCCUGGUUAGUACUUGGAUGGGAGACCACCUAGGAAUACCAGGUGCUGUAGGCU
rnacentral:rRNA from 1 species